rnacentral:rRNA from 1 species
AGAGUUUGAUCCUGGCUCAGGACGACGCUGGCGGCGUGCUUAACACAUGCAAGUCGAACGAUGAAGCCUGCUUGCAGGGUGGAUUAGUGGCGAACGGGUGAGUAACACGUGGGUGAUCUGCCCCGCACUUCGGGAUAAGCCUGGGAAACUGGGUCUAAUACCGGAUACGACCCCCUGGUAGGUCAGGGGGUGGAAAGAUUUAUCGGUGUGGGAUGAGCCUGCGGCCUAUCAGCUUGUUGGUGGGGUAAUGGCCUACCAAGGCGUCGACGGGUAGCCGGCCUGAGAGGGUGAUCGGCCACAUUGGGACUGAGACACGGCCCAGACUCCUACGGGAGGCAGCAGUGGGGAAUAUUGCACAAUGGGCGCAAGCCUGAUGCAGCGACGCCGCGUGGGGGAUGACGGCCUUCGGGUUGUAAACUCCUUUCGACAGGGACGAAGCUUUGGUGACGGUACCUGUAGAAGAAGCACCGGCUAACUACGUGCCAGCAGCCGCGGUAAUACGUAGGGUGCGAGCGUUGUCCGGAAUUACUGGGCGUAAAGAGCUCGUAGGUGGUUUGUCGCGUCGUCUGUGAAAUCCCGGGGCUUAACUUCGGGCGUGCAGGCGAUACGGGCAUAACUUGAGUGCUGUAGGGGAGACUGGAAUUCCUGGUGUAGCGGUGAAAUGCGCAGAUAUCAGGAGGAACACCAAUGGCGAAGGCGGGUCUCUGGGCAGCAACUGACGCUGAGGAGCGAAAGCAUGGGUAGCGAACAGGAUUAGAUACCCUGGUAGUCCAUGCCGUAAACGGUGGGCGCUAGGUGUAGGGGACUUCCACGUCUUCUGUGCCGCAGCUAACGCAUUAAGCGCCCCGCCUGGGGAGUACGGCCGCAAGGCUAAAACUCAAAUGAAUUGACGG